rnacentral:rRNA from 2 species
AGACCCGAAACCCGGUGAUCUAGCCAUGGGCAGGUUGAAGGUUGGGUAACACUAACUGGAGGACCGAACCGACUAAUGUUGAAAAAUUAGCGGAUGACCUGUGGCUGGGGGUGAAAGGCCAAUCAAACCGGGAGAUAGCUGGUUCUCCCCGAAAGCUAUUUAGGUAGCGCCUCGUGAAUUCAUCUCCGGGGGUAGAGCACUGUUUCGGCUAGGGGGCCAUCCCGGCUUACCAACCCGAUGCAAACUGCGAAUACCGGAGAAUGUUAUCACGGGAGACACACGGCGGGUGCUAACGUCCGUCGUGAAGAGGGAAACAACCCAGACCGCCAGCUAAGGUCCCAAAGUCAUGGUUAAGUGGGAAACGAUGUGGGAAGGCCCAGACAGCCAGGAUGUUGGCUUAGAAGCAGCCAUCAUUUAAAGAAAGCGUAAUAGCUCACUGGUCGAGUCGGCCUGCGCGGAAGAUGUAACGGGGCUAAACCAUGCACCGAAGCUGCGGCAGCGAACGUAUCACCCAAGACAACUUUACGGAGUUGACGAUUGACGGAGCGAAGCGACGUCAAAGCGUUCAUUAAAGUCGAGUUGGCUUAGGGAUACGUUCGUUGGGUAGGGGAGCGUUCUGUAAGCCUGUGAAGGUGUGUCGUGAGGCAUGCUGGAGGUAUCAGAAGUGCGAAUGCUG